rnacentral:rRNA from 1 species
GACGAACGCUGGCGGCGUGCUUAACACAUGCAAGUCGAACGGAAAGGCCGUGGCUUUGUCGGCUGCACCAGUGGCGAACGGGUGAGUAACACGUGAGUAACCUGCCCUUGACUUUGGGAUAACCUCAGGAAACGGGGGCUAAUACCGGAUAGGAGCUCCUGCUGCAUGGUGGGGGUUGGAAAGUUUCGGCGGUUGGGGAUGGACUCGCGGCUUAUCAGCUUGUUGGUGGGGUAGUGGCUUACCAAGGCGUUGACGGGUAGCCGGCCUGAGAGGGUGACCGGCCACAUUGGGACUGAGAUACGGCCCAGACUCCUACGGGAGGCAGCAGUGGGGAAUAUUGCACAAUGGGCGGAAGCCUGAUGCAGCAACGCCGCGUGCGGGAUGACGGCCUUCGGGUUGUAAACCGCUUUUGGCUGGGACGAAGCGAGAGUGACGGUACCUGGAGAAGAAGCACCGGCUAACUACGUG